rnacentral:rRNA from 1 species
AGCAGCCGCGGUAAUUCCAGCUCCAAUAGCGUAUAUUAAAGUUGUUGCAGUUAAAAAGCUCGUAGUUGAAUUUCGGGGUUAGUAGGUUGGUCGUGCCUAUGGUAUGUACUGGCUUUACUGAUUCCUCCUUCUUGAAGAACUGUAAUGUCAUUAAUUUGGUGUUGCAGGGACACAGGACUGUUACUUUGAAAGAAUUAGAGUGUUUAAAGCAGGCUAACGCUUGAAUACAUUAGCAUGGAAUAAUGAAAUAGGACGUUUGAUCCUAUUUUGUUGGUUUCUAGGAUUGACGUAAUGAUUAAUAGGGAUAGUUGGGGGCAUUAGUAUUCAAUUGUCAGAGGUGAAAUUCUUGGAUUUAUUGAAGACUAACUACUGCGAAAGCAUUUGCCAAGGAUGUUUUCAUUAAUCAAGAACGAAAGUUAGGGGAUCGAAGACGAUCAGAUACCGUCGUAG